GAGUUUGAUCCUGGCUCAGGAUGAACGCUGGCGGCGUGCCUAACACAUGCAAGUCGAACGGACUUUUCAUGAAGCCUAGCGAUUGAAAAGUUAGUGGCGGACGGGUGAGUAACGCGUGGGUAACCUGCCUUGUACUGGGGGACAACAGUUGGAAACGACUGCUAAUACCGCAUAAGCGCACAGCUUCGCAUGAAGCAGUGUGAAAAACUCCGGUGGUACAAGAUGGACCCGCGUCUGAUUAGCUGGUUGGUGAGGUAACGGCCCACCAAGGCGACGAUCAGUAGCCGGCCUGAGAGGGUGAACGGCCACAUUGGGACUGAGACACGGCCCAAACUCCUACGGGAGGCAGCAGUGGGGAAUAUUGCACAAUGGGGGAAACCCUGAUGCAGCAACGCCGCGUGAGUGAAGAAGUAUUUCGGUAUGUAAAGCUCUAUCAGCAGGAAAGAAAAUGACGGUACCUGACUAAGAAGCCCCGGCUAACUACGUGCCAGCAGCCGCGGUAAUACGUAGGGGGCAAGCGUUAUCCGGAUUUACUGGGUGUAAAGGGAGCGUAGACGGUUUUGCAAGUCUGAAGUGAAAGCCCGGGGCUUAACCCCGGGACUGCUUUGGAAACUGUAGAACUAGAGUGCAGGAGAGGUAAGUGGAAUUCCUAGUGUAGCGGUGAAAUGCGUAGAUAUUAGGAGGAACACCAGUGGCGAAGGCGGCUUACUGGACUGUAACUGACGUUGAGGCUCGAAAGCGUGGGGAGCAAACAGGAUUAGAUACCCUGGUAGUCCACGCCGUAAACGAUGAUUACUAGGUGUUGGUGGGUACGACCCAUCGGUGCCGCAGCAAACGCAAUAAGUAAUCCACCUGGGGAGUACGUUCGCAAGAAUGAAACUCAAAGGAAUUGACGGAA
rnacentral:rRNA from 1 species